rnacentral:rRNA from 1 species
CAGUAGCCGCGGGAAUACGUAGGGUGCAAGCGUUAAUCGGAAUUACUGGGCGUAAAGCGUGCGCAGGCGGUUUCGUAAGACAGAUGUGAAAUCCCCGGGCUUAACCUGGGAACUGCAUUUGUGACUGCGAGGCUAGAGUGUGUCAGAGGGGGGUGGAACUCCACGUGUAGCAGUGAAAUGCGUAGAUAUGUGGAGGAACACCGAUGGCGAAGGCAGCCCCCUGGGAUAACACUGACGCUCAUGCACGAAAGCGUGGGGAGCAAACAGGAUUAGAUACCCGGGUAGUCCCUGUCUCUUAUAC